rnacentral:tRNA from 1 species
GGCCACAUGACCGAGCGGUGAGGUGGAGGUCUGCAAAACCUUUUACGGCGGUUCAAAUCCGCCUGUGGCCU